UACGGGGGGGGCAAGCGUUGUUCGGAAUUACUGGGCGUAAAGGGCUCGUAGGUGGCCCACUAAGUCAGACGUGAAAUCCCCAGGCUCAACUUGGGAACUGCGUCUGAUACUGGAUGGCUUGAAUUCGGGAGAGGGAUGCAGAAUUCCAGGUGUAGCGGUGAAAUGCGUAGAGAUGUGGAGGAACACCAGUGGCGAAGGCGACUCUGUGGUCUGUAACUGACGCUGAGGCGCGAAAGCGUGGGGAGCAAACAGG
rnacentral:rRNA from 1 species